CAAAUGACUCUCGGCAAUGGAUAUCUCGGCUCUUGCAUCGAUGAAGAACGUAGUGAAAUGCGAUACUUGGUGYGAAUUGCAGAAUCUCGCGAACCAUUGAGUCUUUGAACGCAAGUUGUGCCCGAGGCCUUGUGGUCGAGGGCACGCCUGCUUGGGUGUCAUGAC
rnacentral:rRNA from 1 species